UCCCCUGCCUCUUCUCCACCUCACCCCUGUGCCUCCCAACCGCCAAGCCGCCGCCGCCUCAUCUUCUCGCUGCACGGCUGGGCGACGCGGCGAGGCGCGCGGGAGCUCUUCGGCCGGAGACACGGCGAGGCGCGCGGGACGGCCGCUGGCGAACGUGGCCGGACCUGAGACUGUGGCGCGCGCUGCCACCUCCACCCUCCCCCGGCCUUAUCUCCUACGGAACAGGCUACUCAUGCAUCGAUAGUACAACCAACCCCUUUCCGUGACAUAAUCAACACACGUACAAAAGGUACAUGUGUGACCUCGGCCUCAAUCUCUGCAAAUACACCUCAAAUGCACACUUCAGAUACAUGUGUGACCUCUACGGCCCCAAUCUCUGCAAAUACACCUCAAACACACGCUUCAGCAGGAGCAUCUGCCAACAAACAAGGUGGGAAAGGAUGGCAUGCCAACCUAAGCGACGAAAAGAAGGCUGAGCACCUAAGGAAGCUCCGGAUGAAGGAGAUGUCGUCCAACGUGUUUGUACAUCAAUUACCUACUUUACCUAUAGAUCAACAGUGGUUGGGAGCGCUUCUAAUUGUGGUUACAACAGCGAGUACAUGAAUUGGACUGACGAGGCAACAAAGCUGAUGCAUGCUUGGGGACAUUAGGUUUGAUGUUAUUACCGAGAUACACAAGUUGGUGUAGUCACACAUCAUCUUCAAUUUCUGUUAUCCAUAUCACUGCUCUUGGCCAUUGUUGGCAUCAUCAACACCGAGCACCAACGACAAGAGCCCAGUGGUGAACGAGGCCAAGAGAAUCCUGAGAAGCUGCAGCUGAAAGUAGCACUGGAGGUGGUGCCUGGGAGAAGCAGUGCAGGCAGUGGCCUAGAGGAGCGGAAGAGGUGUCUGGGACGAGCAUAGGAGGCAGCGGCGCAACAGUCGGGUGCAGGGGGCCCGGGAGAAGUGGAGGAACUGGUGGCCGGGAGCAAAAUUGUUGGCGGUGGGAUCAGAGGAGGUACUAAUGCCCGGAGCAGCGCGGGCGGCAAGGGAGGAAACAAGUAUUGAGCUGGCCUAAGUGGCAAUUUUAUCCAUGUAGUCCCUUCGUAAACUAAUAUAAGAGUGUUUAGAUCACUACUUUAGUUAUCUAAACGCUCUUAUAUUAGUUUACAGAGGGAGUACAAAAUACUAAGAGGAAUAUGUACAUGUACUGCUUUAUUAAUUGGUGAUAUACCUACACACUUUCUCCUGGAAAUUUCUUUCACUUGACAUGAUAGUCAUGAUAUUUCUUUGUUACAUACUCCCUCCG